ACAAUACUGUGAUAGUCACGCAUACUACUGGUCCAUUAUAGCCAUGAAGGCCAACAGAUGGAGGAGGAGUAUGUCUGUAAAGGGAAGUUAGCACCUUCCAGGUGGGAACUGUAGCAUAACUGGAAAUUGUUGUUCUACUUCAUAGAUUGUGUAUCAAACUCCCAGCAAUUUUGCCAUGAAUUCACACAUGGUUAACCAGCUAGAAUUACUAAGGUCAUCUUAGUCUCUUGUUUUGUUUUUAAGGUAUUGAUACACAGCAUUUGUCUAGUUUGGGGUUUUUUUGCAGUUUCCAAGUGUCCUAUCUGCGCGCUGAUUUCCUGCUUUCCCCCAGUGCCCCCCCUCUGGAUACAACCUGUUGAUUACCACAGACCUAAUAACAUAUUUUAUUUUAGUUGGGAUGGAUCUGAAUUUGUAAGAUGUAGAACCUGAAAAACUUACUGACUACUUGGCUUUUUUAUGAAGUUACAGACAAGCUUUACCUCCCAUCUAGAAAUGGGGUAUUUUGUGUGCUAAUAUGAUGCUCGACCUUCACUGUUAGAAGCCACUAUCUUGUUCUGCAGUAGUGAUUGAGCAUUCUUGCCAGCGCUAGUUCAGUGAACCAUGGACACCGUCUGAGAGAGCACAGCUGCUAAGCUGACACAUACCUUCUGCUGUCAAGAAACACUGCAGAGAGAAAGCAGGAAGAAGCAGUGACUGGGCAGGACAGCACACAGGAAAUUAAGGUCCUGCUUCUGUUUAAACAGUUGAAAUUGGAUGAAGAUGCUGUCUUCCCAAAGUAUAAUGGGGUUUGUGGCAGGGGAAAGGGAGGUUCCCUGAGGAGAGAAUAUUGCUGUGCCUAAUUAAAAAGGAAGCAAUUUAUUACUGUUUAACACGUUGCUCAGAGGUCUGAGGUUGUACACACUUAAAAAUUAUCUGAGAUUCUGGAUAGUCUUGCAAAAUCUGAAGAAUUGGUUUCAAAGAUCUUCCUUUUUCCAGUCAUUUGACUCCAUUCUAAUACACAGCAUCAAUAUUUAGCAUGAAUAAUCAUGCUGGUCUAAACUGAUUUCUCUGUUUGACUCAGCAUGAAAGCAGAAUAACUGGCCUAAUUCUCAUUAAUGAUCUCCUAUGUAUCCCUAGGGUUACUGCCAGAUCAGUGGGCUAAUUGACAUAACUGCUGCUGUUAAUGAAUUACCAGUUAUACACAGGAAAAGACUCUGUGUGUUCAGCAUGCAUCCCGAUGAAGAUCAUCAUCUUCAUCUAUUGAUUUACAGACGACAGAAUACACCACUAAUGAAAGUAUUUUAGGCAGGGUGUUCUGCAGGAUAGGGAUGGGGAGGACAGGAGAAAUACCUCCUGUUCCCAACCUUUAGUAGUCUCAACAACCACUGCUCUUGGGUGAUCUUCCUAUUUCUGCAGCUGUUUCCUCUUGCCUCUUUUCACUCUCAGCUACUUAGGUGUUAAGAUGUUUAGGGUAAAAUCUCCCCAUAUAUUUGUUCCAUGCCUUAGCAAAUGGGAUUUUAAUUUCCUUUUGGUCUUGUAGACACUGAGUCAAUAUUGAUUGAAAGUCUUCUACACGAACCCUGCUUAAAUAGCUUUUUCCAUUGACCAUUUCUCUCUUUAGUUUCCAUUCCAAAACAUGGUAUCAAGUGGUUACUGCAGUACACACCUCGGAUUUAAUUUCCUCUUCCUUUCUGCAAGUAAGGUAUCUGCGGUAUUCUGUUCUACAGUGAGUUCUGUAACUUAGUGAGAAAUACCUUAUCAGCUACAAGCGUAGAGUAAGAUGGGUGUUAGCAGGGAGGAACUGAAAGGUAACUUAAUGCUCUGUGUUUUACCUCUUCAUUAUGUUUCUGUUGUCAAGUUUGAAUAGAAAUGCAUGUAUUCUGCAUAUGUGUAUGAAUAGAAGAAAACUGUAGUGAAGUAGGUGUGCUUUGCUGGAAUAACUUCAAAGAUUGCUCUAGAAGUCUUAGAAGUGAAUGGAAAAUUAACUUUUUUUUUUGUAGGAGAGACCGAGCUGCCAUUCUGAUUCAGCAUCUAAUGCUGCUUCUUAUUUCACCUAAAAUAAUUUUCAUGCUUAAUUUCUACAUAGUUGCAGUGAGAAUGUUUGAGGCAUGUGUAUAAGGGCAGAGAUAGAACUUACUUUUAAAAGUAUUAUAAAAUAAUAGAAAAAACAAAUUCCCCAAAUGGCUUGAGGACUGGGUUAUGGUAUAAUGUCAGAUAUACUUAGUGUUUUUUACACUGUCCCCCAGUGCUUCCUGGAGAUGUUUUAUGGUGGAACUAGUCUGUUCAGAAACUGUAGCACAUUGAUCAUGAACACUAGCAUUUCCUUUAGUUUUACUUUCUACUGAAACAUUGCUGUGAAAUGGCAGAUACUGGAAAUACAGUUUGCUACAAAGUUGGCGUAAUGGUCUUCAAUUUCUGUUUGCUUCAAUUUAGUUUGUCUGUGGAGAAUGAAAAUGACUGGUCUAGCCACAGUUCAGGAAGAUUUUCUCUGGGCUAACAAUGAGCAGAAAACCGUGAGUUGUUGAUGUGUCUGAAUUCUUUCCUUGAUGGCAUUUUAACUGACUCGGUGGCAUAAAACAAAAUUAGUAACAGUUCAAAUGUGUAAUGUUUCCUCUGGUUAGAACCUCCCUGACAAAUACUUAUUAUUUGGCUAACAAGGAAUAAUUAAGCUUCUGCAGGGAGAAGGAAAAGUGAUUGACCUCUUAAGGCUGAGCCUCAGCUGGGUCUAACUAAAGAUUCUUCCUGAAAGUGUGAGUCACCCGAUGAGACUGUGAGCCAGUUUUCCCUCCCUGAACUUCUCUCCACCCUUCAGCUUUUAACUGUGGUGAGCCAACAAGAUUAGAAUAAGCACAGAUUUAAAAUAAAGUUGCUGAGAUCUCAAACAACUUUCAAGAAAAGCAGAAGUAUGUUAAGUUGCAUCAGAACUUAACUUUUGUACCACACAAGCUAUUUAGAGUUUAUAUAGUGCUAUCAAGGACUUCAUGGUUAAGUGUGAUCACUAUUAAUUAAUGUUUUGUGGAUUAUAUGUUAAUCUUAUCUUCAAAGGUUUAGAAUGUAAAGUCUUUGAUAAGCAAAGAUCCAGACUAGCACAUCAAAACUGAAGAGUUGCUUAAAAUAACUCCCACUUUGGGUGUGGGUGCAGUUAGUCCGGUAACUUUGUUAAAGCUAUUUUGGGUAAGUAUAAAAAACAAAGGUUUUGUUCAACAGCAGGUUUAUGUCUGCAUAUGAACUUCAGUUUAACUGGUUUUGCUCGAUUAGUUCAAUCCUAUAAGAACUAUUUUAAAUGUGAGUAUGUCUAUAUAAAAUCAUGUACUAGUUUUAUGCAUAACUUGUAAGUAUCCUUUUCAUUAACCUACCAAAAGCUGGAGCAGCUGAGGCUUAUGUAAACUACUAAUUUUAAUGAAACAUGGACUAUUAACCUAUUGACCUGAAUGCAACUGUUUAUAUUGUUAGUGGAAAACGAGUCUUGUUCUGGAAAAGGAUUUUAGCAUGUCAUUUAAACUGGGAAUAACAGAAGCCAGUGAAAAGAACGCAGAGAAGAGCACAGUUUUUUUUUUCUACAAUUACUUUGUAGGGCAUUUUGUUUUAAUUUCAUUUUUCCACUCGUUUUUAUAAAAAUGAGCUGCUAAAAAUCACUGAACUUGGUUCAAAACAGAAAUUAAGUGCCUGCCAUGAGGAUACUCAUGUGUGAACUAUAUUAAUUGCUUUUCCUCAGUGACAUUUCACAGAACCUAACUGUAUUUUAAUGCACUUUAAUAGGUAUGUUCUGUAUUUACUGGUGACCUUGUGGUUGCUCAGCUACCAAAUAAAAUGAAAUAGUUUGUUAGGUUAUCUGCAUAUACACAAGUUGUCUCCUUCUUCAUUAAGUGGAAUGGCUGUGGUCAAAUUGGAGAAAUGCUGAUGUAUUUCAGGAUGAUAGAUGUUUCUGGUAAUAUUAACAGCUAUAAUGUUAGCAAAUCAGGUUAAUUAGGAAGUUUAAUCCAAUUAAUCUUUGAUGUUAAUUGUGUAGUUCACACCAUUCAUCUUGAGGAAAGAGCAUAAAUAAUUGCUUGUGGGUUCCAAAGUCCUGAAUAAACUAUGGAGAAAAACAUUAAGAAAAAUGAGGGGAAAAAGGCUGCUAGGAUACUCUAGGAUACCCUGCUGAAUAAGGUAGGUUGUGUUUGACUGUUCACUGUGCUACUGAGAGACUACGACAUCUCUGCAUUGCUAGAGUAUUUUUGUUGCUUGCUGUAAGCUAGAGAAGACACUAAAGAAUAAAAAUUACCAGAAAUCUGUGGAUGAUUCCAGUCUCCAAUUUCCCACAUACAGAAAACUCAUUUUAUGAAUUAUUAUGUAUGAGAAUUAAAAGUAGUUCCUACAGUGGAUUUCACUAUCUGCUCAUCUGUAGUGAUCCUGACCAGAAGACCGUUGUACAUCGAGGAUCAGUGAUCCACGUAAGUUAGGCCUGUGCCUACUCAGCUUGUGCUGUACUGCGCUGCCUGUCCAGCCUGGCCUCCAGGACCAUGUGGGGCUGCGUGUCCCCUGCAGCCGGGGGAUACGUUUACCCGGCUGAUAGUACCAGAGGAGCCUGCGGGCAGCUCCCGCUUGGUAUCUGAGAUUAUACCCCCUGCGUGGCCUGCCCUUUAUCUGAAAAUGCAGCAAGAGGUUCUGGUGUUAACAUCCUUUCUGUUUGGCAGUAGAAAUGAUGUAUAGGGUUGUUUCCUUGUGUGCUGGUUUUGGCUGGGAUAGAGUUAAUUUUCUUCACAGUAGCUGGUAUGGGGCUAUGUUUUGGAUUUGUGCUGAAAACUGUUGAUAACACGGAGAUGUUUUCCUUACUGCUGAGCAGUGCUUACACAGAGCCGAGGCCUUUUCUGCCUCUCGCCCUACCCCACCAGUGAGUAGGCUGGGGGGGCACAAGGAGUUGGGAGGGGACACAGCCGGGACAGCUGACCCAAACUGACCCAAGGGAUAUCCCAGACCAUACGAUGUCACGCUCAGCAUAUAAAGCUGGGGGAAGAAUGAGGAAGGGGGGACAUUCCAAGUGAUGGUGUUUUUGUCUUCCCAAGUAACCGUUAAGCGUGAUGGAGCCCUGCUUGCCUGGAGAUGGCUGAACACCGGCCUGCUGAUGGGAAGUGGUGAAUGAAUUACUUGUUUUGCUUUGCUUGCAUGCAUGGCUUUUUUACUUUACCUAUUAAACUGUCUUUAUCUCAACCCGUGAGUUUUCUCACUUUUACCCUUCUGGUUCUCUCCCCCAUCCUGCUGCCGGGGAGUGAUUUGAGAGGCUGUGUGGGGCUUAGCUGCUGGCUAGGGUUAAACCAUAAUACAUUGUAAGAAAAUACUGUAAUAGCUUGAAUGACCAAAAUGGUGUAACUUUUCCACGAGCAGGAUCUGCAUGAUGUGCUGCACCUCGAUCAGGGACCUGGUUGAUGCUGCACAGCUCGGGGUUCCCAGCACCUGAAGGAAUGUAAGAUUAUUU